UGGGGAAUAUUGGACAAUGGGCGCAAGCCUGAUCCAGCCAUACCGCGUGAGUGAAGAAGGCCCUCGGGUUGUAAAGCUCUUUUGUUGGGAAAGAAAUCCUGUUGGUUAAUACCUGGCAGGGAUGACGGUACCCAAAGAAUAAGCACCGGCUAACUUCGUGCCAGCAGCCGCGGUAAUACGAAGGGUGCAAGCGUUACUCGGAAUUACUGGGCGUAAAGCGUGCGUAGGUGGUUGUUUAAGUCUGUCGUGAAAGCCCUGGGCUCAACCUGGGAAUUGCGAUGGAUACUGGGCGACUAGAAUGUGGUAGAGGGUGGCGGAAUUCCCGGUGUAGCAGUGAAAUGCGUAGAGAUCGGGAGGAACAUCCGUGGCGAAGGCGGCCACCUGGACCAACAUUGACACU
rnacentral:rRNA from 1 species